rnacentral:rRNA from 1 species
AGAAUGACUCUCGGCAACGGAUAUCUAGGCUCUUGAAUCGAUGAAGAACGUAGCGAAAUGCGAUACUUGGUGUGAAUUGCAGAAUCCCGUGAACCAUCGAGUCUUUGAACGCAAGUUGCGCCCGAUGCCAUUAGGUUGAGGGCACGUCUGCCUGGGUGUCACAU